rnacentral:rRNA from 1 species
UACGAAGGGGGCUAGCGUUGCUCGGAAUCACUGGGCGUAAAGCGCACGUAGGCGGACUCUUAAGUCAGAGGUGAAAUCCUGGAGCUCAACUCCAGAACUGCCUUUGAUACUGGGAGUCUCGAGUUCGGGAGAGGUGAGUGGAACUGCGAGUGUAGAGGUGAAAUUCGUAGAUAUUCGGCGGAACACCGGUGGCGAAGGCGACUCACUGGCCCGAUACUGACGCUGAGGCGCGAAAGCGUGGGGAGCAAACAGG